rnacentral:rRNA from 1 species
CCUACGGGAGGCAGCAGUCGAGAAUCAUUCACAAUGGGGGAAACACUGAUGGUGCGACGCCGCGUGGGGGAAUGAAGGUCUUCGGAUUGUAAACCCCUGUCAUGUGGGAGCAAAUUAAAAAGAUAGUACCCCAAGAGGAAGAGACGGCUAACUCUGUUCCAGAAGCCGCGGGAAUACAGAGGUAUCAAGCGUUGUUAGGAAUCAGUGGUCGUAAAGCGUGCGUAGGCUGUUUCGUAAGUCGUGUGUGAAAGGCGCGGGCUCAACCCGCGGACGGCACAUGAUACUGCGAGACUAGAGUAAUGGAGGGGGAACCGGAAUUCUCGGUGUAGCAGUGAAAUGCGUAGAUAUCGAGAGGAACACUCGUGGCGAAGGCGGGUUCCUGGACAUUAACUGACGCUGAGGCACGAAGGCCAGGGGAGCGAAAGGGAUUAGAUACCCCAGUAGUC